UCACUCGACACAUUUCUGGGUUUCAGGUUUCAUCUGUGAGUCUGAAAUAGCUGAGACCGAGAAAGAUUUACCCCCAAACAGAAUAUGUUUACAUGGUCUCAUACACAAAGACUCUCUGUAUGCCAACAACAGUGCUGUCCAUAACCAGACCUUUACUACAACAUCAACUGAAACCAUAUGGGACUUCCUGACAAACAACGGCAGAGAAAUGCUGAGAAGACAAAACAGCUGUGGCUAAACUUUACAGUUACUAAUACAAACCAGAAGACUUUUUGAUGAAGUAAGAAAAAAACAGUUUCCACGGUGAUUAGAGGGGAGGAGAAAAGACCGUGCCAAACCCAGACAAAGGGAGGGGUGCAGCAGGGAGGUAAACACAGAACGAGAGGUCCCGACUGACAAGACUGUGAGGUUCUGGAGAAGCUCCAAAGCUCAUUCCAAAAGACUCGUUACACAGGAAAACUGAAAACUGAGCAAAAAAAACUGAGAGCAAUACACAACAUGACUGUACAGCUCUUCGAAACUUUAACAACAACUGCAUGACAGGAGAAAACUCUGCACAGACGCAAAUUGGACGCAAGUUCAUGUGAGGAGCGUUACAGAAGACCCUAUAAACUACUGGAAGACAGACAUUGUUUGUGUUAUUUGCCGUGCUGCUGAUCUACAGUCAGAAUGAGCGCUUCGGAUGAAAUGAUGAAAGUCCUUCAGCAAAUCUGGAGCAAACUGCAGGGUUUUUCUCAAGACCACCCGCUCAUGCAGGCGGCCUUUCUGAUCAUGGUGCUCUUCUUCUUAACGUUCAUAACUAUGAUGAUGAUCGGAUGUCUUUAUGGUCGCUGUGGCUGUUGUCAAGGAACCAGAAACCGAGUGUCCGUUAUCUGAUCGGCCCAUUUUCAGUCAACGAAACAUCAAGAUCAAGACAAAGAUGGGCAACAGAGCACAGCGGGCCAAAAUAAAGAACAAAUUGAUGAAAUUCAAUGUUUUUUAUUGUGUGAUAUAGCACACAUUACAGUGAUUAUAACCAGCCAAUGAAGGUUGUGUACAGGACGAAUACACGAAACAACGGUGAUGAUGGAAUUCAGAAGAGAUUUUCAAAUGUGGACACAAGCAACGACUGAGAAAUCACUUUCUUAUGGAUUGUACAAAUGUUGGCUACACUUCAAACCUUUCCCACGGUGUUGAAUAACACAGCAUGCUGCAAGUAAAUCACUAUAAGAACAGUGCUAACGUCUGCCCCCUGGUGUUUGCUUACAAUACUGCAGUCAUUUUAUAAGAAAGAUUUACAGCAAUAGGAAUCAAGGAAAGAGAUCAGUCUUAUAGGGGCGGUUUCCCGGAUAGGGCUUAUCCUAGUCCCAGACUAAAAUGCAUGUUUGAGCUGCCUUCAUUUAAAAACACCAUGACAUCUUCACAUAUAUCAAUGCCAUUGUUUUAUCUCAAGAUGCACAGCAGUGUUGUUUUUGUAAGGUUUGUUUGUAAAAAAAAUACUUAAUGUCCUAAUAUAACUAAGACCUAAUCCUGGAUUAAACCAAACCCAGUCCGGGAAACCGACCCUAUAUCUCAUUUUCCAAAUUAUAGUUGAAAUAUAGCCUUGAUACCAGUAUCAAACAGUGAAUCUAUGCAUGUAAGAGAUGGGAGAGCUGUGAUAUACACCAGGCAGUGUAGUGAAAAUUAAAUAUUAAUCAUGCAAUUUUGUUUGUUCUUAAUGCAAUGCCAUUCUCUGUUUGUCUAUAUGCAUGGUUAAGUAUAGGUUAAAAAUAAUAACUGGUUAAAUUCUACAAAAACUGAUACUGGACAGACUAUGUAUAAUAUCUAUAUUACAGUAUUUAAAAGUAAACGUAUUUGUUGCAUAUAAAGUGAUGUAAGCAAGAUUAAAGUGUAUGGGAACUCACCCUUCUUGUUCACAAAAAGCAACCAUAGCAUCAAAGUCCAGGAUGGGAGCUUUAUCCUGCUCUUUCUCGGAUCCUCGUUUUUCCUGUAAAAACAUUUUUUAAAUAUAAACUUCAUUAAAGAAUAAAAUACAUGGAUAUUUCAAACUAAAGAUGCGUUUACAACAAGACUGGAGUACCAUUGUAAUUCAAAAUAAAAUGUUUACUUUAUAAGCUUUUCCAUUCAUCUUAAAUAAAAUGUCCAAAUCAUGA